UCUUGAUACAGAACUAGUUCUCAGUGCUGCCAAGGUUUGCCUUUAUCUUUCUUAACCGCAUUUUUAUUUUCUUCGCUUCUUUUGGGUUAAUGCUCCAGUGUCCAAAUGUGUUGAUCUCCUUGGAUAUGGGCCCAUUGGUUGCUGGUGCCAAGUUUCGUGGAGAUUUUGAGGAAAGGUUGAAAGCUGUGUUGAAGGAGGUUACUUCUUCAAAUGGGCAGAUUAUCUUAUUCAUUGAUGAGAUCCAUCAGGCAAUGGAGACGCCACAUCGGUCUCUGAUCGGAUAAAUUCUCACAGGUUUGCCCACUCUAAGUCAGUUUCGCGGUCGCCGCUCUCUAAUGAAAUAGACCCGCCACAAAAUCCGGAGCACUGGAGUUGAAGAAGUUGGGACUAUUGAUGUUCGUGCAGCUAAGGAUCUGCUUGACUUUGGCUACGGAUGUUAGGUAUUGAAUAUUAAUUGGUUUCAUAAGUAGAUGCACGGAAACGAUGAGCGCUAGAGAGGUGGCAGUCUCAGGUCCAGUUUUGCAACUUCUGUAACGAUAGUUCCUGUUACAAUGGGUUUAUUUUUUUUCUGGGGUGGUGCUGAUGAGGGGGAGGAUCUGAGAAAUGCAGCCAUAAGAGAAUUGAGAGAAGAAUCAGGUGUUACCUCGACGGAAUUUCUUGCAGAGGUGAGCCUAGAUAAUGCUUUUUAUAUUUGAAUAUUUCACCUGUAUUCUUGGAGUCUGGUACCAUGUCUCAAAGGAUGAAAUGACACCUUCCUACAUCAUGUCUUGACUGAACUGAUAUUUCCAUUGUUAUGUAGACACCUUAUUGGCUGACUUAUGAUUUUCCACUUACAGUCAAAGAUAGACUUAAUCGUUGCUGGGGAACAAAUUAUAAAGGUCAAGCACAGAAGUGGUAAGGUUACCAUCUACCUAGAAAUGGUCAAUGCAUUAUAUAUUGUAGUUCUGCUGUUGAUAGACAAGUAGGAAGAGUUAGAAAAUUAUAUGGUGGAAAUAAUAUACAACCUGUAGCUUCUAAUAAUAAGAUCAUCUGUGCGUAUUUCCAUUGUAAGGUUUGUGAAGUAGUUAUUAUUGGAAAAAAUUUGUUUGGACCAUCCA